rnacentral:lncRNA from 1 species
AUGGCAAAAAGUCAAGAAAAAUUCUCCUCCUCCCCUCCUUGGACUUCUGAGAAUAUAUAUAAGGAUAUAAACAAAGCUACCGUACGCCCAGAAAGACCUGUAAAAGAACUAGCCUCUUCAAGGAGUAUGAAGGCACACAGUUUCUUGUUCUUUUGUGGAGUUCUGAUGCUGUGUGAUAAUCUGACAUCAGCAGCAGUGAUCAAUAAAUUGGUUCAGCCCGAAAGAUGUCUUCCUAGUCCAAUCGUAUGUACCCGGUACGAACCAGAUAACUGUCAGGACGACUCUGACUGCCCGUUAAACCAGAAGUGCUGUUUUGUUCCUUGCGCUUGGAGUUGUGUGGAUGCUGUGUAAUGAGGGUAAAUUCAUUUCCUGAUGGGCUCCUGAGUUAACCAUGGCUUGACAAACCAAUAACUGACUCCUACUGGCUUGAUGGGAGAUUCAGACAUAUUUCUAAAUAAAUCUUCUUUAUGUAGAAACA